rnacentral:rRNA from 1 species
AUUAUACCGUGAAACUGCGAAUGGCUCAUUAAAUCAGUUAUCGUUUAUUUGAUAAUACCUUACUACUUGGAUAACCGUGGUAAUUCUAGAGCUAAUACAUGCUGAAAAUCCCGACUUCGGAAGGGAUGUGCUUAUUAGAUAAAAAACCAAUGCCCUUCGGGGCUCUUUGGUGAUUCAUGAUAAUUUUACGGAUCGCAUAGCCUUGCGCUGGCGACGGUUCAUUCAAAUUUCUGCCCUAUCAACUUUCGAUGGUAAGGUAUUGGCUUACCAUGGUUUCAACGGGUAACGGGGAAUUAGGGUUCGAUUCCGGAGAGGGAGCCUGAGAAACGGCUACCACAUCCAAGGAAGGCAGCAGGCGCGCAAAUUACCCAAUCCCGACACGGGGAGGUAGUGACAAUAAAUACUGAUACAGGGCUCUUUUGGGUCUUGUAAUUGGAAUGAGUACAAUUUAAACCUCUUAACGAGGAACAAUUGGAGGGCAAGUCUGGUGCCAGCAGCCGCGGUAAUUCCAGCUCCAAUAGCGUAUAUUAAAGUUGUUGCAGUUAAAAAGCUCGUAGUUGAAACUUGGGCCUGGCUGGCGGGUCCGCCUCACCGCGUGCACUCGUCCGGCCGGGCCUUCCUUCUGAAGAACCUCAUGCCCUUCACUGGGCGUGUUGGGGAAUCAGGACUUUUACUUUGAAAAAAUUAGAGUGUUCAAAGCAGGCCUUUGCUCGAAUACGUUAGCAUGGAAUAAUAAAAUAGGGCGUGCGUUUCUAUUUUGUUGGUUUCUAGAGACGCCGCAAUGAUUAACAGGAACAGUCGGGGGCAUCAGUAUUCAGUUGUCAGAGGUGAAAUUCUUGGAUUU